GCCUGGCUGGCUCGGUUGGUGGGGCAUGUGACUCGUGAUCUCGGGGUUGUGAGUUCAAGUUUCAUGCUGGGUG
rnacentral:tRNA from 1 species